rnacentral:rRNA from 1 species
AGCGUAGGUGGUUAGGUAAGCCCUCCGGGAAAUCUUCAGGCUUAACCUGAAAAGGUCGGGGGGGACUGCCUGGCUAGAGGACGGGAGAGGAGCGCGGAAUUCCCGGUGUAGCGGUGAAAUGCGUAGAGAUCGGGAGGAAGGCCGGUGGCGAAGGCGGCGCUCUGGAACGUUUCUGACACUGAGGCUCGAAAGCGUGGGGAGCAAACAGGAUUAGAUACCCUGGUAGUCCACGCCCUAAACUAUGGACACUAAGUGCCGGCGGGUUACCGUCGGUGCCGCAGCUAACGCAUUAAGUGUCCCGCCUGGGGAGUACGGCCGCAAGGUUGAA